rnacentral:tRNA from 1 species
GAGGAUGAAAUCUUGAUGAUAUUUCUUUUACAAUGAAAAAUAGCUUUAGGCCGUUCUUA